rnacentral:rRNA from 1 species
UACGUAGGGUGCUAGCGUUGUCCGGAUUUGAUUGGCGUAAAGGGCUCGUAGGCGCGUGUCGCGUCGGGGAGUGAAAGCCCGCUGCUUAACGGCGGGUUGGCUUCCGGUACGGGCAUCGCUGGAGUGCGGCAGGGGGAGACUGGAAUUCCUGGUGUAGCGGUGGAAUGCGCAGAUAUCAGGAGGAACACCGGUGGCGAAGGCGGGUCUCUGGGCCGUUACUGACGCUGAGGAGCGAAAGCGUGGGGAGCGAACAGG